rnacentral:rRNA from 1 species
GGUGAGGUAACGGCUCACCAAGGCGACGACGGGUAGCUGUUCUGAGAGGAAGAUCAGCCACACUGGGACUGAGACACGGCCCAGACUCCUACGGGAGGCAGCAGUGGGGAAUCUUGCGCAAUGGGCGAAAGCCUGACGCAGCGAUGCCGCGUGCGGGAAGACGGCCUUAGGGUUGUAAACCGCUUUCAGCAGGGACGAAAUUGACGGUACCUGCAGAAGAAGCUCCGGCCAACUACGUGCCAGCAGCCGCGGUAAGACGUAGGGGGCGAGCGUUGUCCGGAUUUAUUGGGCGUAAAGGGCUCCUAGGUUGUUCAGUAAGUCGACUGUGAAAAUCCAAGGCUCAACCUUGGGACGCCAGUCGAUACUGCUGUGACUCGAGUUCGGUAGAGGAGUGUGGAAUUCCUGGUGUAGCGGUGAAAUGCGCAGAUAUCAGGAGGAACACCAACGGCGAAGGCAGCACUCUGGGCCGAUACUGACACUGAGGAGCGAAAGCAUGGGGAGCAAACAGGAUUAGAUACCCUGGUAGUCCAUGCCGUAAACGUUGGGCACUAGGUGUGGGUCUCAACCAACGAGAUCCGCGCCGUCGCUAACGCAUUAAGUGCCCCGC